rnacentral:pre_miRNA from 1 species
UUAACUCAAAUUUGUAUGCAGUUGGAACGUUUACCUAUGUUUGCCGCUAGGGGCGCUGUUUCAACUGCACACACGGAUCUAAGAUC